UGCUCGGCUUUACCUGAUGCUCCGCUGUGGCAAUUAUCCCGUUAUGCAUAUCCUGUGUGCGCUCUAGCCUCUUCGGGGCCCUGAUGAGUCAGCAACUAACCAUGCAUUAUACAUCCUU
rnacentral:snoRNA from 1 species